rnacentral:rRNA from 1 species
GAUGAACGCUAGCGACAGGCCUAACACAUGCAAGUCGAGGGGCAGCGCGGAGCAAGCUUGCUUGUUCUAGCGGCGACCGGCGCACGGGUGCGUAACAGGUGUGCAAUCUGUCCAUAAUCGGGGAAUAGCCCAGCGAAAGUUGGAUUAAUGCUCCAUGUGAGUUUUAGAGGCAUCUCUUUAAUUUGAAACGUAAGGAUUAUGGGUGAGCACGCUUCUGAUUAGGUAGUUGGUGAGGUAACGGCUCACCAAGCCGACGAUCAGUAGGGGUUCUGAGAGGAAGGUCCCCCACAUUGGAACUGAGACACGGUCCAAACUCCUACGGGAGGCAGCAGUGAGGAAUACUGGUCAAUGGGCGAAAGCCUGAACCAGCCAAAUCGCGUGAAGGAAGAAGGUGUUAUGCAUUGUAAACUUCUUUUGUCAGGGAAUAAAGUGCACCACGCGUGGUGUUUUGUAUGUACCUGAAGAAUAAAGACCGGCUAAUUCCGUGCCAGCCGCCGCAGUAAAAC